rnacentral:rRNA from 1 species
UACAGAGGGUGCGAGCGUUAAUCGGAAUUACUGGGCGUAAAGCGUGCGUAGGCGGCUAUCUAAGUCGGGCGUGAAAGCCCCGGGCUCAACCUGGGAAUUGCAUUCGAGACUGAAUAGCUAGGGUACGGUAGAGGGAAGUGGAAUUUCCGGUGUAGCGGUGAAAUGCGUAGAUAUCGGAAGGAACAUCAGUGGCGAAAGCGACUUCCUGGACCAGUACCGACGUUCAGGCACGAAAGCGUGGGGAGCAAACAGG